UACUCCUACGGGAGGCAGCAGUGGGGAAUAUUGGACAAUGGGCGAAAGCCUGAUCCAGCAAUACCGCGUGUGUGAAGAAGGCCUGAGGGUUGUAAAGCACUUUCAAUUGGGAGGAAAACCUACCGGUCAAUACCCGGUAGCUUGACAUUACCUUUAGAAGAAGCACCGGCUAACUCCGUG
rnacentral:rRNA from 1 species